rnacentral:rRNA from 1 species
CCUACGGGUGGCAGCAGUGAGGAAUAUUGGUCAAUGGACGAGAGUCUGAACCAGCCAAGUAGCGUGAAGGAUGACUGCUCUAUGGGUUGUAAACUUCUUUUAUAUGGGAAUAAAAUGUUCCACGUGUGGGAUUUUGUAUGUACCAUAUGAAUAAGGAUCGGCUAACUCCGUGCCAGCAGCCGCGGUAAUACGGAGGAUCCGAGCGUUAUCCGGCUUUAUUGGGUUUAAAGGGAGCGUAGGUGGAUUGUUAAGUCAGUUGUGAAAGUUGGCGGCUCAACCGUAAAAUUGCAGUUUGAACUGGCAGUCUUGAGUACAGUAGGGGUGGGCGGAAUUCGUGGUGUAGCGGUGAAAUGCUUAGAUAUCACGAAGAACACCGAUUGCGAAGGCAGCUUACUGGACUGCAACUGACACUGAGGCUCGAAAGUGUGGGUAUCAAACAGGAUUAGAUACCCGAGUAGUC